rnacentral:lncRNA from 1 species
CUCGGUGCCUGGUGUUCCCGGGGGUGCGCAGGCGUCCAGCCUGGGGCUCCGGUGGGUAACAGCGCGAAUGUUGGCCGGCACCACAGAGGGUGGAGGCACUGGGCAUGCGGACCUGCCACCGAGGAGAGGGUGCGGCCGAGCCCCGGGAUGGGCCGCAGACGGUGGUCUCCGCCCAGGCGGGUGCGGGGAGAGGGACGGGAAUGUGUCUGCGUUCGGAGCGGAAGGCCCGCGGGGAAAGCGGGCAGCUCGCUGGCUACACCACCUUGGAAGCCGCCGUGUUGCGCGCCGGACCCUCGCUUUCCGGGAACCUGACGUUGACCAGCAACACAAGAGUCCUGAGUAACGGCUUCCACAAGGAAAACCUGCGGCCAGCCCUGGAUGAUCUGAGUCAUGACCCGGCAGGGAGACUGGGAAACGUGUGAGUUUGCUGCUAAAUUCUCACAUUUCCCACCAGGUUCCUUCUCUAUGUUUUUCUGCCGUUUGUUAAAAAAAGAAAAGAUGAUGGUGAUUCAGAUCAGCUGAUCAAUUUUCUCACCUGCAAAGUGUGAAGAAUCGGCCAGAGCCAGUGGAGUGAUUUUGAAGGUGACAUCAGUUGAUGGGGGAGCUCCAAGGGCACAUCCAGCCCUGGCCUCACUGCCAACAACCUCCAGAGACACAGCCGCGGGGGUUCCCUCCCGCCUCUGCUAUUCCUGAAGGCACAGAGGAUCCAUGUGGUCACCGAACCAGGGGCCACCGUCCUGGAUAGUACCAGAGAGUGCUCUGAGACUACUUAGCCAGCUUAGGUGAAAAUGUACUCUGUACCCUCUAACAAGGAGUUGAAAGCAGCUUGCUUUGGUUUCCACAACCAAUAGGAUUUGAUUAAGGAAGUUGUUGAACUGAAUAACAUAAAAGCAAGCAGAGUGUUUUCCAGGUAACUUUCAGUGUAAAAUCACCUAGGUUUUGGAUGCAUAAAAGACAGCUUUAACCCAAAGCUGGGGUUCAAGGAUCACUCACAGCAUGUUUCUGAAGACUGUAAAGACACAAAAGGGCUAAGGGGAUCCUUCUGGGAGAACCGUUGUUUGAGCAGUUAACUGUAGCUAACAUAUAUAGGUGGAUUUGACCUCUGAGAAGAACUUCUACCAAGGCAUGACAACCAGCUUCUUUCUUUCAGAAAGCUCAGAGAUGAAAGUAGGAAGUUGAGAAUCUGAAUAAAAUGAAGGUGAAUAUAACA